CGGCCCGCCCCGCCGCCUGCUGCUGACGUAGCGCGUCGCUGUUGCCAUGGGAACGGCUGUGGCGUCGCCGCCGUGGGAGCGCAGCGGGGACCGUUGGGUUUGUGUGAGCAGACAGCUGAACUUUUGCUCUUGGGCUCAGUUAUCCAUUUGACACUUCAGAAACAGAGAGCUUCUCCACAGCACCGAAGUCCUGCUUCCAGCUGGAGUCUGUUAACCAACGAUCGAAGAACAAAAAGGUUUGGCACCUAGCAGACAACACUGGGAAUCAUGAACAACAAUAAUUUUGUGGUACUCCCAGGUUCAAAAAGUGUAACCUCUGUGAGAUUAAAAGCCAAAACUGUCAGAGAAUUGCAGCUGGAGAAAGUACAGUUGGAAAUGGAAAACAAAGAGGUGGAGAAGAAAUUACGACAGCUGCAGUCCAACAUGAGCAGAGAAAAGGAGGAGAGAAAGAAAUCAAGUGCUUAUCAUUGGAAGUCUGGACAAGCAGGACCAACCCUAGCCCGAUUUUUGUCACAAAACAAAGAAAAAAGCAGUAAGGUUUCUUCAGGAAAAGUGAAGU
rnacentral:lncRNA from 1 species